UAGACAAAUGUUUGCAGUUCAUGAUAACAUUUAAAUUUUAUUGCACCAGAACUUGAAAAAACUCUCCAAAUUAAACUGAUCGAGAUGGAGAAAGAUGGCACACAAUGGCAAAUAAAACGUCCUCACAUCCCAAACUCAAAGUACAGUGAGCAGCAGGGGCCGACUGAGAAGGCUUCAAAGAAAAAGGUUGACAAUAAAAAGGGAGGGGCUUCCAAAUACGAGCGCCAGGAGGGAGGGUCAUGACAGACUUUCAAAGAAUAAGAUGCUACGUUGAAGAAGUGGCCGGCAGCCAGCCGAGGGCAGAUAGGCACAUCUAUUAAUUCGAAGCUCACGGAGCUGAGAAGAGCAAAAAGAUAA